AUUGAACGCUGGCGGCGUGCCUAACACAUGCAAGUCGAGCGGUAACAGGUGUAGCAAUACAUGCUGACGAGCGGCGGACGGGUGAGUAACGCUUGGGAAUCUACCUAGUAGUGGGGGAUAACCCGGGGAAACUCGGGCUAAUACCGCGUACGCCCUACGGGGGAAAGCGGGGGACUUUCGGGCCUCGCGCUAUUAGAUGAGCCUAAGUCCGAUUAGCUAGUUGGUAGGGUAAUGGCCUACCAAGGCGACGACCGGUAGCUGGUCUGAGAGGACGACCAGCCACACUGGGACUGAGACACGGCCCAGACUCCUACGGGAGGCAGCAGUGGGGAAUAUUGGACAAUGGGCGCAAGCCUGAUCCAGCGAUGCCGCGUGUGUGAAGAAGGCCUGCGGGUUGUAAAGCACUUUCAGUAGGGAAGAAAAGCCGAGUGCUAAUAUCACUCGGUCUUGACGUUACUUACAGAAGAAGCACCGGCUAACUCCGUGCCAGCCGCCGCAGUAA
rnacentral:rRNA from 1 species